rnacentral:rRNA from 1 species
UGAGGAAUAUUGGUCAAUGGGCGCUAGCCUGAACCAGCCAAGUAGCGUGAAGGAUGAAGGCUCUAUGGGUCGUAAACUUCUUUUAUAUAAGAAUAAAGUGCAGUAUGUAUACUGUUUUGUAUGUAUUAUAUGCAUAAGGAUCGGCUAACUCCGUGCCAGCAGCCGCGGUAAUACGGAGGAUCCGAGCGUUAUCCGGAUCUAUUGGGUUUAAAGGGAGCGUAGGUGGACUGGUAAGUAAGUUGUGAAAGUUUGCGGCUCAACCGUAAAAAUGCAGUUGAUAAUGGAAGUAUAGAGUACAGUAGAGGUGGGCGGAAUUCGUGGGGUAGCGGUGAAAUGAUUAGAAAUAACGAAGAACUACGGUAGCGAAGGCAGCUGACUGGAAUGAAACUGACACUGAUGCUCGAAAGUGAGGGUAUCAAACAGG